GGCUUGGUGAACCCUCAAAAAGGCUGUCAAACACCCAGAGGCCUUGGGGAUCAGGAAGGAGCUAUCAUGUGGUCUUUCAUCUAAGAGAGAAUUGUCCUGCCUGAUGGGCUUCAAACCACCAGAACAUCAGUUCUUCCUGGUUCUGCAGUAGUCUCCAACCUUCAGACUCAAACUUCAGCACCUGUUCUUCAGAUUUUGGACUUGCAGCCUCUAUAAUCACAUGAGCCAAUUCCUUAUAUAAAUUUAUUUAUACAUGCUGACAGUUGGUUCUGUUUCUCUGGAUAACCCUGACUGUUAGAGCUGUUACCUCAAAUUUGUUUUCUUAUAUUUGGUGUCUGUUUUGGAGUACUUACAAGUGCUUAAAAUGUUCUUUUUCAAUUAGGUGAGUCUCAGUCUCUAAGAUAAUUUUUUUAUUGUUCUAUUUUAUAGAUUACAUGUUAAUGUCAAUUAAGCUAUAAACAUUUUAUUGCUGAUACAUUAUCAAAAUGCUUUUCAAACAGCCAUUUCCAACAGUCUAUUCUUUGGCAAAAAAACAAUGCCAUUCUCUUGCCAUGGCCAAAUGUGAGUGCUACUAACAGGUAAACUCUUAAUUUGUAAGUGAGGCUGAAAUCUUAAAAUGCCUUCCUGAAACUUAUACAUGAUUGAUUUUGUUUAUUUGUGUAAUUUCUUUGUUCUAUGGUUUCAGCUUCAAUUGCUGAGAAAAUGUCAAGAUUAUUUCCUGAGAAUUUCCUUUGUGGCUAAGACAAAGGAGAAGUUUUAAUUUUACUAGAAACUGUGAAACGAGGCUUUUAAAAAGUUUCAUUAAAAAAAAAAUUAGGGAAGAAUAGGCAUAUUCAGAAAACCUACUUUCAUUUAGGCUGGAUUGG
ensembl:lncRNA novel transcript